rnacentral:rRNA from 1 species
GAUGAACGCUGGCGGCGUGCCUGAUACAUGCAAGUCGAGCGAACGGACGAGAAGCUUGCUUCUCUGAUGUUAGCGGCGGACGGGUGAGUAACACGUGGAUAACCUACCUAUAAGACUGGGAUAACUUCGGGAAACCGGAGCUAAUACCGGAUGAUAUUUUGAACCGCAUGGUUCAAAAGUGAAAGACGGUCUUGCUGUCACUUAUAGAUGGAUCCGCGCUGCAUUAGCUAGUUGGUAAGGUAACGGCUUACCAAGGCAACGAUGCAUAGCCGACCUGAGAGGGUGAUCGGCCACACUGGAACUGAGACACGGUCCAGACUCCUACGGGAGGCAGCAGUAGGGAAUCUUCCGCAAUGGGCGAAAGCCUGACGGAGCAACGCCGCGUGAGUGAUGAAGGUCUUCGGAUCGUAAAACUCUGUUAUUAGGGAAGAACAUAUGUGUAAGUAGCUGUGCACAUCUUGACGGUACCUAAUCAGAAAGCCACGGCUAACUACGUG